UACGUAGGGUGCGAGCGUUGUCCGGAAUUACUGGGCGUAAAGAGCUCGUAGGUGGUUUGUCGCGUUGUCCGUGAAAACUCACAGCUUAACUGUGGGCGUGCGGGCGAUACGGGCAGACUGGAGUACUGCAGGGGAGACUGGAAUUCCUGGUGUAGCGGUGAAAUGCGUAGAUAUCUGGAGGAACACCGGUGGCGAAGGCGGCAUCCUGGACCAACACUGACACUGAGGAGCGAAAGCCAGGGGAGCAAACGGG
rnacentral:rRNA from 1 species